rnacentral:rRNA from 1 species
AAGGUUUCCGUAGGUGAACCUGCGGAAGGAUCAUUAUUGAAUGAACUUGGUGUGGUUGUUGCUGGCCCUCUUGGGGGCAUGUGCACACCUACCAUCCUCAUCUCUCCACCUGUGCACCUCUUGUAGAUUUGGAAUUGAUUAUCCGAGGCAACUCGGUCGUGAGGACUGCUAGCACUUAGCUGGCUUUCUUUGCAAUUCCAGGUCUAUGUUUUUCAUAUACCCCAUUGUAUGUAACAGAAUGUAUCAUUGGGCCUUGUGCCUAUAAACCUUAUACAACUUUCAGCAACGGAUCUCUUGGCUCUCGCAUCGAUGAAGAACGCAGCGAAAUGCGAUAAGUAAUGUGAAUUGCAGAAUUCAGUGAAUCAUCGAAUCUUUGAACGCACCUUGCGCUCCUUGGUAUUCCGAGGAGCAUGCCUGUUUGAGUGUCAUUAAAUUCUCAACCAUUAUCAACUUUUGCUGGUAAUGGCUUGGAUGUGGGGGUCUAUUUUGCUGGCUUCUCAGAUAGUCAGCUCCCCUUAAAUGCAUUAGCCGGUGCCCCGCGUGGACUGUCUAUUGGUGUGAUAAUUAUCUACGCUAUAGACAUCUGCAAUCAUAUGGGUUUGCGCUGCUUCUAACAGUCUGUUAAUUCAGACAAUACAUGACAAUUUGACCUCAAAUCAGGUAGGACUACCCGCUGAACUUAA